GGCCUGUUAGCUCAGCUGGUUAGAGCGUGGUGCUAAUAAUGCCAACGUCAUGGGUUCGAUCCCCACAUGGGUCA
rnacentral:tRNA from 1 species